rnacentral:rRNA from 1 species
UACGUAGGGUGCGAGCGUUGUCCGGAAUUAUUGGGCGUAAAGGGCUCGUAGGCGGUUUGUCGCGUCGGGAGUGAAAACCUACAGCUUAACUGUGGGCUUGCUUUCGAUACGGGCAGGCUAGAGUUCGGUAGGGGAGACUGGAAUUCCUGGUGUAGCGGUGAAAUGCGCAGAUAUCAGGAGGAACACCGGUGGCGAAGGCGCUGCUCUGGGCCGAAACUGACGCUGAGGAGCGAAAGCGUGGGUAGCAAACAGG